AUGGAGAUGUUAACACGUUGUAUAAAUUUGGCAAGGGUUCUAGGUUUUGGUGGUGGCUAUGCGGUUGGUAGCAGUGGUAGGAGCGGAGGUCUUGAUAUGUUCUGGAAAAGCCCGGUCAGUAUGAGGCUGCUGAAUUUCUCAAAGUACCACAUUGAUAUGGUUGUUUCUGAACCUGGGAAGGAGGAGUGGAGACUGGCUUGCUUCUAUGGAGAGGCGCAGAGACAUCUGAGGCAAAAUACAUGGGACAUGAUGUCUUUCCUAAGAGGUGAAUCAACGCUUCCGUGGGCUUGUAUAGGUGAUUUUAGUGAGAUAGUUAGAAAAGAAGAACAACUUGGUCCGAAUGAACGAGAUGCAGCUCAAAUGGUAGGUUUUAGGGAAGCAAUGGACCUAUGCGGCUUGUGUGAUCUUGGCUACGUAGGAGUGGACUAG
rnacentral:rRNA from 1 species